GCCAGCAGCCGCCGGUAAUACGUAGGGUCCAAGCGUUAAUCGGAAUUACUGGGCGUAAAGCGUGCGCAGGCGGUUCCAUAAGACAGAUGUGAAAUCCCCGGGCUUAACCUGGGAAUGGCAUUUGUGACUGUGGGGCUAGAGUGUGGCAGAGGGGGGUGGAAUUCCACGUGUAGCAGUGAAAUGCGUAGAGAUGUGGAGGAACACCGAUGGCGAAGGCAGCCCCCUGGGCUAACACUGACGCUCAUGCACGAAAGCGUGGGGAGCAAACAGGAUUAGAUACCCUGGUAGUCCACGCCCUAAACGAUGUCAACUGGUUGUUGGGAUGGAGACAUCUUAGUAACGAAGCUAACGCGUGAAGUUGACCGCCUGGGGAGUACGGUCGCAAGAUUAAAACUCAAAGGAAUUGACGGGGACCCGCACAAGCGGUGGAUGAUGUGGAUUAAUUCGAUGCAACGCGAAAAACCUUACCUACACUUGACAUGCCUAGAACCUUGCAGAGAUGCGGGGGUGCCCGAAAGGGAAUUAGGACACAGGUGCUGCAUGGCUGUCGUCAGUUCGUGUCGUG
rnacentral:rRNA from 1 species